ACCCCUCAUUGGAUCACAGCUGCCACGGCUAGCAACUACACUGGAAAAAAAGGCUUAACUUAGCUGAGUAAUUCAGGGAUUUGGCCAGAUACUUGAUCAGCUACUGAAAUCUCCGGUCUGAAGAGCAGUUUGGAAAAGAAGACAACGAGAAUAAAUAAAUCCAGAAUCACAUAUGUGCAGUAUUGACUUUGCAAUUUAUGUCUAAGUACAUGACAGAUCACAGGUGAUUAACUUCUCCGCAAGCAUCUCUAUGCUACCAUGGUUCUGUUUAAGAUAUUCUGCUACAUCCUAGAAUACCUUUCCUAAAUAAACUCCAGAGGGUAAAUACUUAAGACAAUAGCAAAUGAUGGGUGACUGAAUGUAAGAACAUCAAAGGUUCUCUGAGGGAGGUGAGCUACAAGAGAGGCUUUGAACCCAGGUUAAAAUGUCACAGGGUGCUACCUGAGCACUGCAUUUAUCAAUUUAAUUCCUCC
rnacentral:lncRNA from 1 species